GCCUUCGUAGCUCAGUGGCAGAGCAUCUACUCUUAGUAACAAGAAAUUGAAGAGUCAAACGUAUCGAGAAUCCGUGGGUUCGACUCCCACCAAAGGCA